CUGUGUCCCUCCCCGGCGGCCCGCCGCGCCCCGCUCCGAGGGGACGCUUCCGAAGAGGCUGUAUCCUCGCAGAGGAGGGGAUGAGGAAACCAAAGGACUGGAAGAUGCGGACUGUGACUAAGUUCCUUAAAGCACAGCCUGGAGGUGGAGCAGGGACUCUCACCAGGAAACCAACAUCUAAAGAAGUUAAGUGACUUCACAGCUUAAGGUGUGCACAGCUUAACUCAACGCAGGAAUGCCAAGGCCCCUCAAGUCAGCGUCCCUCCACAGGAUUGCUUACAUUGAAUUCAGCUAUGAAAAGUCCUUUAUCUGCAAAAUCCUCAAGAGGCCUCAGAAAUGAGAUCAGAGAUAGCCCUAGCUUUGGAAAUCAAGAUGAGAGCCAUACGAAGUGGUUGGGAGAAGCUGUUUGGGGACCUUGAAUUGUUGUUGUGUGUGUCUGGUUUUUAUAGGUUGUUGGACAAGGGAAUCAGGAUCUCUGCCAAGGGAAGGCCACUCUGGGCCUGUUAGAUAAAGAGAUAACAGACUUCUUUAUUUACACUUUAUCACAUACUUGUGUCCUAAGCCUGUGUAGCUAAAUCUCAGGAAGUGACCAGACCAGUGGGCCCCUCUUAUGCUCAGCCGUUUAAUGUGUCGCAAGUGAAAUAGAAUUAUGAGUUUGAAUACAAUGCAUCAGAUACUGGCCAAUAUGCAUGAGGACCCCUAUUGAAGAGGAG
rnacentral:lncRNA from 1 species